rnacentral:lncRNA from 1 species
AAGACUGACCAGCUUCUUCUGAAGACUUCUGCCCUCUAAAGACUAAGGCCUAAUUCCACUGGUUUCUUUGAAUUCCGUGGUCCUAAGUCCAUUUUCAGGUAAUCACAGGUCCUGGCUGAACAACUUCAGGGAUUACUUAUGGCAACUUAUCAAGAGUGCCUUACCUCCAGCAGCCAUUGUUGCUUUUCUUCUCACCUCAGCACUAAUGGGGAUCCUCUGCUGCUUCACCAUUCUUGUAGUUGAUCCAGUCCACUGAAGAACUAGAAGAUUCAACAGGGCAAGUGUGGUCUCUCCAGUUGGACUCCAAAAGAGUGGGGCAUUUGCUAUCUGCUUAAAAUGAGGAAGUAUCUAUCAGUUGAAAUUAAAUCGUCUUCCAACUUGA